rnacentral:tRNA from 1 species
GUGGGUAGAGCUCAGUGGUAGAGCCUGUGCUUAGCAUGAUUGAGGUCCUGGGUUCAAUCUCCAGUACCUACC